CCUACGGGAGGCANCAGUGGGGAAUUUUGGACAAUGGGCGCAACCCUGAUCCAGCAAUGCCGCGUGCAGGAUGAAGGCCUUCGGGUUGUAAACUGCUUUUGUACGGAACGAAACGGUUCUCUCUAAUAAAGAGGGCUAAUGACGGUACCGUAAGAAUAAGCACCGGCU
rnacentral:rRNA from 1 species